rnacentral:rRNA from 1 species
GACGAACGCUGGCGGCGUGCUUAACACAUGCAAGUCGAACGGAAAGGCCCUGCUUUUGUGGGGUGCUCGAGUGGCGAACGGGUGAGUAACACGUGAGUAACCUGCCCUUGACUUUGGGAUAACUUCAGGAAACUGGGGCUAAUACCGGAUAGGAGCUCCUGCUGCAUGGUGGGGGUUGGAAAGUUUCGGCGGUUGGGGAUGGACUCGCGGCUUAUCAGCUUGUUGGUGGGGUAGUGGCUUACCAAGGCUUUGACGGGUAGCCGGCCUGAGAGGGUGACCGGCCACAUUGGGACUGAGAUACGGCCCAGACUCCUACGGGAGGCAGCAGUGGGGAAUAUUGCACAAUGGGCGGAAGCCUGAUGCAGCAACGCCGCGUGCGGGAUGACGGCCUUCGGGUUGUAAACCGCUUUCGCCUGUGACGAAGCGUGAGUGACGGUAAUGGGUAAAGAAGCACCGGCUAACUACGUGCCAGCAGCCGCGGUGAUACGUAGGGUGCGAGCGUUGUCCGGAUUUAUUGGGCGUAAAGGGCUCGUAGGUGGUUGAUCGCGUCGGAAGUGUAAUCUUGGGGCUUAACCCUGAGCGUGCUUUCGAUACGGGUUGACUUGAGGAAGGUAGGGGAGAAUGGAAUUCCUGGUGGAGCGGUGGAAUGCGCAGAUAUCAGGAGGAACACCAGUGGCGAAGGCGGUUCUCUGGGCCUUUCCUGACGCUGAGGAGCGAAAGCGUGGGGAGCGAACAGGCUUAGAUACCCUGGUAGUCCACGCUGUAAACGGUGGGUACUAGGUGUGGGGUCCAUUCCACGGGUUCCGUGCCGUAGCUAACGCUUUAAGUACCCCGCCUGGGGAGUACGGCCGCAAGGCUAAAACUCAAAGGAAUUGACGGGGCCCCGCACAAGCGGCGGAGCAUGCGGAUUAAUUCGAUGCAACGCGUAGAACCUUACCUGGGUUUGACAUGGAUCGGGAGUGCUCAGAGAUGGGUGUGCCUCUUUUGGGGUCGGUUCACAGGUGGUGCAUGCCUGUCGUCAGCUCGUGUCGUGAGAUGUUGGGUUAAGUCCCGCAACGAGCGCAACCCUUGUUCACUGUUGCCAGCACGUUAUGGUGGGGACUCAGUGGAGACCGCCGGGGUCAACUCGGAGGAAGGUGGGGAUGACGUCAAGUCAUCAUGCCCCUUAUGUCCAGGGCUUCACGCAUGCUACAAUGGCCGGUACAGAGAGUGGCGAGCCUGUGAGGGUGAGCGAAUCUCGGAAAGCCGGUCUCAGUUCGGAUUGGGGUCUGCAACUCGACCUCAUGAAGUCGGAGUCGCUAGUAAUCGCAGAUCAGCAACGCUGCGGUGAAUACGUUCCCGGG